rnacentral:rRNA from 1 species
GGCGUGCCUAAUACAUGCAAGUAGAACGCUGAAGAGAGGAGCUUGCUCUUCUUGGAUGAGUUGCGAACGGGUGAGUAACGCGUAGGUAACCUGCCUUGUAGCGGGGGAUAACUAUUGGAAACGAUAGCUAAUACCGCAUAACAAUGGAUGACACAUGUCAUUUAUUUGAAAGGGGCAAUUGCUCCACUACAAGAUGGACCUGCGUUGUAUUAGCUAGUAGGUGAGGUAAUGGCUCACCUAGGCGACGAUACAUAGCCGACCUGAGAGGGUGAUCGGCCACACUGGGACUGAGACACGGCCCAGACUCCUACGGGAGGCAGCAGUAGGGAAUCUUCGGCAAUGGGGGCAACCCUGACCGAGCAACGCCGCGUGAGUGAAGAAGGUUUUCGGAUCGUAAAGCUCUGUUGUAAGUCAAGAACGGGUGUGAGAGUGGAAAGUUCACACUGUGACGGUAGCUUACCAGAAAGGGACGGCUAACUACGUGCCAGCAGCCGCGGUAAUACGUAGGUCCCGAGCGUUGUCCGGAUUUAUUGGGCGUAAAGCGAGCGCAGGCGGUUUGAUAAGUCUGAAGUUAAAGGCUGUGGCUCAACCAUAGUUCGCUUUGGAAACUGUCAAACUUGAGUGCAGAAGGGGAGAGUGGAAUUCCAUGUGUAGCGGUGAAAUGCGUAGAUAUAUGGAGGAACACCGGUGGCGAAAGCGGCUCUCUGGUCUGCAACUGACGCUGAGGCUCGAAAGCGUGGGGAGCGAACAGGAUUAGAUACCCUGGUAGUCCACGCCGUAAACGAUGAGUGCUAGGUGUUGGAUCCUUUCCGGGAUUCAGUGCCGCAGCUAACGCAUUAAGCACUCCGCCUGGGGAGUACGACCGCAAGGUUGAAACUCAAAGGAAUUGACGGGGGCCCGCACAAGCGGUGGAGCAUGUGGUUUAAUUCGAAGCAACGCGAAGAACCUUACCAGGUCUUGACAUCCCGAUGCUAUUUCUAGAGAUAGAAAGUUACUUCGGUACAUCGGUGACAGGUGGUGCAUGGUUGUCGUCAGCUCGUGUCGUGAGAUGUUGGGUUAAGUCCCGCAACGAGCGCAACCCCUAUUGUUAGUUGCCAUCAUUCAGUUGGGCACUCUAGCGAGACUGCCGGUAAUAAACCGGAGGAAGGUGGGGAUGACGUCAAAUCAUCAUGCCCCUUAUGACCUGGGCUACACACGUGCUACAAUGGUUGGUACAACGAGUUGCGAGUCGGUGACGGCGAGCUAAUCUCUUAAAGCCAAUCUCAGUUCGGAUUGUAGGCUGCAACUCGCCUACAUGAAGUCGGAAUCGCUAGUAAUCGCGGAUCAGCACGCCGCGGUGAAUACGUUCCCGGGCCUUGUACACACCGCCCGUCACACCACGAGAGUUUGUAACACCCGAAGUCGGUGAGGUAACCUUUUGGAGCCAGCCGCCUAAGGUGGGACAGAUGAUUGGGGUGAAG